GACGUUAGCGGCGAACGGGUUGAGUAACACGUAAGGAAUCUACCUAUAAGCGGGGGAUAACAUUCGGAAACGGGUGCUAAUACCGCAUAAUAUCUUCUUCCGCAUGGAAGAAGAUUGAAAGACGGCUCUGCUGUCACUUAUAGAUGACCUUGCGGUGCAUUAGUUAGUUGGUGGGGUAACGGCCUACCAAGACGAUGAUGCAUAGCCGACCUGAGAGGGUGAUCGGCCACAUUGGGACUGAGACACGGCCCAAACUCCUACGGGAGGCAGCAGUAGGGAAUCUUCCGCAAUGGGCGAAAGCCUGACGGAGCAAUGCCGCGUGAGUGAAGAAGGCCUUCGGGUCGUAAAACUCUGUUAUAAGAGAAGAACAAAUUGUAGAGUAACUGCUACAGUCUUGACGGUAUCUUAUCAGAAAGCCACGGC
rnacentral:rRNA from 1 species